UAGCUCUUUAAUUGAGAGAUAGGAUGAAUGGCCUCACCGACGAGAAGUUUUUUAAAUAAAAUUGAAUUUUUUUUCUGGUGAAAAAACUGGAAUUUUAUUUUUAGACGAUAAGACCCUAUGAAGCUUUACUAUGAUUUAGUUUUUUUGGGGCAAAAUGAAAUUUAGGUAUUUCUCUUAAGUAUAAUAAUGAUCUUAAUAAAUUUUAAGAAAAAGCUACUCUAGGGAUAACAGCAUAAUUUUUAUUAAAGCUCUUAUUAAAUUAAAAGAUUGUGACCUCGAUGUUGAAUUAAGGAAUUUAUCUUGUGUAGCAGCUAGAUAUUUUUAGUCUGUUCGACUAAUUAUCCUUA
rnacentral:rRNA from 1 species